rfam:Otolemur garnettii contig056557, whole genome shotgun sequence.
GUACUGACCUGACAGGGAGGACACCGUCAUGAAGAUGGCUUUCCCAGGGUGAGGCUUGUCCUUGCAUUCCCAGUGUGCUGACCUCUGAGGUUUCCCCAAAUGUGGGAAACUCAACUACAUAAUUUAUGGUAGUGGGGACAAAAAAAAAUUAAAAAAUGAGAGUGGAGCAGAGCCCUUC